rnacentral:tRNA from 2 species
GCACCCGUAGCUCAGCUGGAUAGAGCGUCUGUUUGCGGUACAGGAGGUCGUAGGUUCGAAUCCUGCCGGGUGUACCA